CCUGUUUGCCAGGCUGGUCUUGAACUGCUGACCUCAAGUGAUUUGCCCACCUUGACCUUCCAAAGUACCGGGAUUACAUGGGUGAGCCACCGCAUCCAGCCAAAGCUGUGUCUUAACAAGCUAUGUUUUAACAUAGUAGCCCUAACUUUUUUUUUUUUUUCAAGGCAAAGCCUUUAUUCAUUUUAAUGUUGCCCAAGUGUAAGAAACAUAUAAUCUGGAUUUAUUAACUUUAGAUAACAAUAAUUUAAAAGAUAGAGAAAGGUCUCAUAUUACAGAAAUUUAAAAGCUGACUAUACAGUAAAUGAUGAAGAAAACUAACAAUAGAACAGGACAA